rnacentral:rRNA from 1 species
GACGAACGCUGGCGGCGUGCUUAACACAUGCAAGUCGAACGGAAAGGCCCUGCUUUUGUGGGGUGCUCGAGUGGCGAACGGGUGAGUAACCCGUGAGUAACCUGCCCUUGACUUUGGGAUAACUUCAGGAAACUGGGGCUAAUAUCGGAUAGGAGCUCCUGCUGCAUGGUGGGGGUUGGAAAGUUUCGGCGGUUGGGGAUGGACUCGCGGCUUAUCAGCUUGUUGGUGGGGUAGUGGCUUACCAAGGCUUUGACGGGUAGCCGGCCUGAGAGGGUGACCGGCCACAUUGGGACUGAGAUACGGCACAGACUCCUACGGGAGGCAGCAGUGGGGAAUAUUGCACAAUGGGCGGAAGCCUGAUGCAGCAAAGCCGCGUGCGGGAUGACGGCCUUCGGGUUGUAAACCGCUUUCGCCUGUGACGAAGCGUGAGUGACGGUAAUGGGUAAAGAAGCACCGGCUAACUACGUG